GCAGCUCUGAUAUGUCUGGGUAUACACCGUGGCGGUGUAGGUGGAAGCGGCGGUGGAGGAGGAGGUAGCCAACACUGUUUUUUAUUUGUUUUUGGUUUUAUUUUAUUGGGGUAGACCCCCAAAUAUUGGGACAAAUAAGAAAAGAAAACUUUGUUUCGCAUAGUAGCUGUUGACAUUAUAGUUGUGCAGAGAACCUCGGGCCAAUCGCACAUCCCCGUGACGGCGACUUUGCAUUCGGAUGUCAUCCAUAUCAACUUUCGAUGCUAGUUUCUGCGCCUACCAUGGUGACCACGGGUAAUGGGGAAUCAGGGUUCCAUUCAGUACAAGGACCCUGAGAAACGGCUACCACAUGCAAGGAAGGCAGCAGUCGCGCAAAUGACCCACUUCCGACGCGGGAAGGUAGUGAC